rnacentral:rRNA from 1 species
UUAAGCAUAUCAUAACCCGGAGGACAUGGCGAAACCUCUUCAUUGUACCACCGAGAACAGUGUCUUUCACCCAUACAUCUUGCGGCCUCGACGGCUCGUGACUUCCGUUCAGGCUGAACAAAAAACGAACGCGGGGUUGCUCAGAUCAUCAAUGUUUACUUGCGUCCCCGUUCUGUCGGGCGUGACAGCAGUUGCAUCAUACUGUUACGA